GGGUGGUGGUGGUGGUGGUGUUGGUGGUGCUGUUGCUGCUACGACCAGCAGCAGUAGCAGCAGUACCGUCAUCACCAGCAGCAGCA
rnacentral:pre_miRNA from 1 species